GUAGGGAACUGUGGUUCCCUGGCAGACUGUGUAACAUGCCCCAGAGCUGCCCCACCCAGGGGUGAGAACUGGGAUAUUUAUCCUCCAAUUCCCCAUCCAUCAUUGUUGAAUGCUGCUCACAGGGACAGACGUUAACUUCUUGGCAUUUUCAUUCUUCCCUAGAUCUGGACACAUUUCUCCCCACCAAAGCAGGCUCCGUUAGUAAGAAAAAUAUUGAAAGCAAUCAGAUGGCAAGCUCCUGUGGACUGAGAAAGCCCAAAGCAGAGGAUUGGAGAUGGGAGAUGCAUACUGAGGGGCUGUGAGGGGCUGAAUGGCGUCCUCGCCAGAAAUCACAUGUUGAAGUCCUAACCCCCGGUUUAGAGAUCGGCUCUUUAAAAAGAGGUAAUAAACUGUAGGAAAGGAAACA
rnacentral:lncRNA from 1 species